AGCGAACGCUGGCGGCAGGCCUAACACAUGCAAGUCGAACGAACUCUUCGGAGUUAGUGGCGGACGGGUGAGUAACACGUGGGAACGUGCCUUUAGGUUCGGAAUAACUCAGGGAAACUUGUGCUAAUACCGAACGUGCCCUUCGGGGGAAAGAUUUAUCGCCUUUAGAGCGGCCCGCGUCUGAUUAGCUAGUUGGUGAGGUAAAGGCUCACCAAGGCGACGAUCAGUAGCUGGUCUGAGAGGAUGAUCAGCCACAUUGGGACUGAGACACGGCCCAAACUCCUACGGGAGGCAGCAGUGGGGAAUCUUGCGCAAUGGGCGAAAGCCUGACGCAGCCAUGCCGCGUGAAUGAUGAAGGUCUUAGGAUUGUAAAAUUCUUUCACCGGGGACGAUAAUGACGGUACCCGGAGAAGAAGCCCCGGCUAACUUCGUGCCAGCCGCCGCAGUAAAAC
rnacentral:rRNA from 1 species